GACGAACGCUGGCGGCGUGCUUAACACAUGCAAGUCGAACGGAAAGGCCCUGCUUUUGUGGGGUGCUCGAGUGGCGAACGGGUGAGUAACACGUGAGUAACCUGCCCUUGACUUUGGGAUAACUUCAGGAAACUGGGGCUAAUACCGGAUAGGAGCUCCUGCCGCAUGGUGGGGGUUGGAAAGUUUCGGCGGUUGGGGAUGGACUCGCGGCUUAUCAGCUUGUUGGUGGGGUAGUGGCUUACCAAGGCUUUGACGGGUAGCCGGCCUGGGAGGGUGACCGGCCACAUUGGGACUGAGAGACGGCCCAGACUCCUACGGGAGGCAGCAGUGGGGAAUAUUGCACAAUGGGCGGAAGCCUGAUGCAGCAACGCCGCGUGCGGGAUGACGGCCUUCGGGUUGUAAACCGCUUUCGCCUGUGACGAAGCGUGAGUGACGGUAAUGGGUAAAGAAGCACCGGCUAACUACGUG
rnacentral:rRNA from 1 species